rnacentral:rRNA from 1 species
CCCUUAGAUGUCCGGGGCUGCACGCGCACUACACUGAAGGAAUCAGCGUGCUAAAACCAUUGUCGAAAGGCAUUGGUAAACCCAUUAAAAUCCUACGUGAUUGGGAUCGGGAAUUGCAAUUAUUUCCCUUGAACGAGGAAUUCCCAGUAAGUGUGGGUCAUAAGCUCGCGUUGAUUACGUCCCUGCCCUUUGUACACACCGCCCGUCGCUGCCCGGGACUGAGCCGUUUCGAGAAAAGCGGGGACUGCUGCUGUCGGGGCUUUCGGGCCUUGGCUUCGGUGGAAACCGCUUUAAUCGCAGUGGCUUGAACCGGGCAAAANUCGUAACA